rnacentral:rRNA from 1 species
AUACAUGCAGUCGAGCGAAUGGAUUAAGAGCUUGCUCUUAUGAAGUUAGCGGCGGACGGGUGAGUAACACGUGGGUAACCUGCCCAUAAGACUGGGAUAACUCCGGGAAACCGGGGCUAAUACCGGAUAACAUUUUGAACUGCAUGGUUCGAAAUUGAAAGGCGGCUUCGGCUGUCACUUAUGGAUGGACCCGCGUCGCAUUAGCUAGUUGGUGAGGUAACGGCUCACCAAGGCAACGAUGCGUAGCCGACCUGAGAGGGUGAUCGGCCACACUGGGACUGAGACACGGCCCAGACUCCUACGGGAGGCAGCAGUAGGGAAUCUUCCGCAAUGGACGAAAGUCUGACGGAGCAACGCCGCGUGAGUGAUGAAGGCUUUCGGGUCGUAAAACUCUGUUGUUAGGGAAGAACAAGUGCUAGUUGAAUAAGCUGGCACCUUGACGGUACCUAACCAGAAAGCCACGGCUAACUACGUGCCAGCAGCCGCGGUAAUACGUAGGUGGCAAGCGUUAUCCGGAAUUAUUGGGCGUAAAGCGCGCGCAGGUGGUUUCUUAAGUCUGAUGUGAAAGCCCACGGCUCAACCGUGGAGGGUCAUUGGAAACUGGGAGACUUGAGUGCAGAAGAGGAAAGUGGAAUUCCAUGUGUAGCGGUGAAAUGCGUAGAGAUAUGGAGGAACACCAGUGGCGAAGGCGACUUUCUGGUCUGUAACUGACACUGAGGCGCGA